UACAGAGGUCUCAAGCGUUGUUCGGAUUCAUUGGGCGUAAAGGGUGCGUAGGCGGCGCGGUAAGUCGGAUGUGAAAUCUCGGAGCUUAACUCCGAAACUGCAUUCGAUACUGCCGUGCUUGAGGACUGGAGAGGAGACUGGAAUUUACGGUGUAGCGGUGAAAUGCGUAGAUAUCGUAAGGAAGACCAGUGGCGAAGGCGGGUCUCUGGACAGUACCUGACGCUGAGGCACGAAGGCCAGGGGAGCAAACGGG
rnacentral:rRNA from 1 species